GAGUUUGAUCAUGGCUCAGAAUCAACGCUGGCGGCGUGCCUAACACAUGCAAGUCGAACGAGAAAGUGGAGCAAUCCAUGAGUAAAGUGGCGACCGGGUGAGUAACACGUGACUAACCUACCUUCGAGUGGGGGAUAACCUCGGGAAACCGAGGCUAAUACCGCAUAACAUCGCAAGAUCAAAGCAGCAAUGCGCUGGAAGAGGGGGUCGCGGCUGAUUAGCUAGUUGGCGGGGUAACGGCCCACCAAGGCGAAGAUCGGUAUCCGGCCUGAGAGGGCGCACGGACACACUGGAACUGAAACACGGUCCAGACUCCUACGGGAGGCAGCAGUGGGGAAUUUUGCGCAAUGGGGGAAACCCUGACGCAGCAACGCCGCGUGGAGGAUGAAGCCCCUUGGGGCGUAAACUCCUUUCGACCAAGACGAUAAUGACGGUACUGGUGGAAGAAGCACCGGCUAACUCUGUGCCAGCAGCCGCGGUAAUACG
rnacentral:rRNA from 1 species